UACGGGGGGGGCAAGCGUUGUUCGGAAUUACUGGGCGUAAAGGGCUCGUAGGCGGCCAACUAAGUCGGAUGUGAAAUCCCCAGGCUCAACCUGGGAACUGCAUCCGAUACUGGAUGGCUUGAAUCCGGGAGAGGGAUGCAGAAUUCCAGGUGUAGCGGUGAAAUGCGUAGAUAUCAGGAGGAACACCGGUGGCGAAGGCGGAUCUCUGGGCCGAUACUGACGCUGAGGAGCGAAAGCGUGGGGAGCGAACAGG
rnacentral:rRNA from 1 species